UGGUUUUGGAAGACUAGAAGGUGAAUCUUUGUAUUACUUUGAUGUUUUUCCUGCGUCUACGUAGCUGUAAUGUGACUGUGCCAUUUCCUUGCUCUGUUUGGCUCAAAAGUUUUGUAUAAUGUAUUUUAUGGUCCAAUUGUGUCUCCCCAACAGAUAUGUUGAAGUCCUAAUCCCCAGUACUCAGAACAUGACCUUAUUUGGAAAUAGCAUUGUGUUUGCUGAGAUGAUCAUAUUAAAAUGAGGUCAUUAGUGUGGGCCUAACUCAAUAUGACUGGUGACCUUAUAUAAAAGUGAAAUUUAGAUACAGAGACAGACAUGCAUGAAGGGAAGUUAAUAUAAAUACACACAGGGAAAACUCAGCCAUGUGAAGAUGGAGACAGAGAUUGGAGUUAUGCUACCACAAGCCAAGAAACACCUGGGGCCACCAGAAGCUACAAGAGAGGCACGAAUUUGCAUGGAAAUUACUGCUCUGGGUUGUCAGGACUCUUCGAAACAUUUCACCCAAAGAAUUACAUCCAACUUGGGAGUUUGCCCUCUGGGCUGUAUCUCUGUUGGACCAGGAAAGUGAGAUUCCUCUAUGAGAAAGGACUUGCUUCAGAGUCUUCAGAUUCAGGUGACUCAGCCAUGAACCUAGUGAUGGGUGAAGAAAGAAAUCUUUCCUCCCCUUCACAGUGGGGUGAAGGAAAGCUAGGAGAAUGUGUCAUGACAUCAUGUAGCUGGUAGUCACAAGCUCUGCUGAACAUGCUCAAGAUCAGAAAUUGGAAAUGGUGCUUAAGGAAAAGGAGUUUGCCAACCUUAAACACAAAUCACUGAAAUAAUGAUUUUUAAAAUAAUUAAAUGCAUUAAUAAAGCUGUGGGAAGAAUAA